CCCUGUCACAACGCAAUCGCCCUUGGUAACUUGGACCGACUUGGCACUAUUCUCGUCCUCUUAUCGUCGUUCGGUGUCGCGUUACGCUCUAAUCAUCCUGUGCUAUGUGCCAGGGUUAAGGAGGAGCGUUUGGGGACACUCGUAAGAGGUUCAGGACGUGAAAAAAAAAAAAAAAUAGAAAAUACUGGAAUCUUGAAUUGUUACAGCAGUAGGAUGAGGAACACGGAAGGUUAUCAUCUGACGAGGACGUUGAGGAACACGGAAGGUUAUCAUCUGACGAGGACGUUGGAAAUGACAGACAGCAAAUUCUAAAAAGUGGUAUUUGGUCAACAAUCGUACCAGAAAGAUAAAAAGAGCGCCAGAUAGCGAAAGAAGUUUAGCAGAGCUGCCUAGACCAUAGAUUGAACAGGAGGUAAGGGAGACGUUACACCUUUCACAAGCUUAGGGAAGAGUGAGGGAGUUACACCUUUUAGAACCUUAGAGAAGAGUGAGGGAGAUACACUUUUUAAAACCUAAGAAAAGAGUGAGAGAGAUACUACACAUUUCUAAAGAAAAGUGAGAAAUAUACACCUUUCAACCCCGAAGAGAAGAGUGAGACAGAUACACCUUUCAAAACCAAAGAGAAGAGUGAGAGAGAUACACUUUUCUAAAGAAAAGUAAGACAUACACUUUUUUAGAGAGUGAGAUAGAUACACCUUUCUAAAGAAGAGUGAGACCGAUACACCUUUCAAAACCGAAGAGAGGAGUGAGAGAGAGAUACACCUUUCACAACCUUAGAGAAAAGUGAGACAGAUACACACCUUUCUAAAGGAAAGUGAGACAGAUACCCCUUUCAAAACCUUAGAGAAAAAGUGAGACAGAUACACUCCUUUCUAAAAGAAAAGUGAAACAGAUACACCUUUCAAAACCUAGAAGAGUGAAUAGCGAAAAACCUAAGAAAAGUGGCAACACGAGAGGUGGCUACACUACACAGAGCAUCAUCCACGGAGGGUGCAAGCAGCAGCUUCCCUGCCUCCCACCACCAUGCAGUGCGUCAGUUCCCCGCAAGAGACGGAGGACAAGGGGGGAUCCGUAAACGUCAAGGUCGUGGCCGUUGGAGAGAGAAGGAGCGGGAAAACCCACCUGCUCUUCACACUGACUGAGAGGACGCCCGUCAGGAACUUCUCCGAAAUCAUUUAUUCCUUCAAGUCCAUCAGCGUCAGAAACUCGGAUGGUAAAGAGCUGGACAUCGCCUUCUUCAGCACCGAUGACCGAGAGGACUUCGACAGCUUCAGCCCCAUCCUGUACCCCGAGACCGACCUGAUCCUGGCCUGCUACUCCGUCGUGAACCCGGACUCCUUCUGGAGUAUCCCGGACAGAUGGAUCCCAGAAGUCCGGCUCUAUCUGCCCAAGGUCCCAAUCAUCUUGGUGGGGUGCUGCAAGGAGCUGAGGAACGACCCCAAGACGCUGCAGAGGCUGAAGGAGCGGGAGCAGGAACCUGUCCUGUACGAGGAGGGGUGUCAGAUGGCCAACAGCAUCGGCGCCGUGGGAUACCUGGAAUGCAGCCCGACGACCGCCGACGGCAUUCCAGAAUUGCUGGAAGCCAUCUCGCGAGAGGCCCUCAGGUUCGUCGAGAAGAAAAUGAAGGGACGGAAAAGCAGCUGCGUCAUUUUAUGAUAAUGGUCGAUAAAAGAUGAUGAGGGGAGGAGAGACAGCUGUUGCCAUUGACGGUCAUCAUUCUUCUUCUUCUUCUUCUUUGAGAUGAUGAAAGGCGGAGAGCGAGCGGCUGCGCCCGUCUACGGUGAUGAUGAUGGCUGCUGAUUGAGAGCGUCACUCGUAUUCUAUUUGUCUGGCGUCGCAAUUCGACUCGUGGAGAAAUUUCAAGGUAUCAGAGGCGUGGCCGGACAUUUAGCCGAGCAGACAUUUGGUCGACGGACAUUUAGCUGAACGGACAUUUGUCGACGGACGUUUUGCAGAAAAUUGACAAGUGUGAAUAGUAACAAGCACUACUUUAAGUAUCUUAAUUAACAGUUUAUUGCAAAAUAAUAACACCAUAACAUAAAAAAUUACAGUAAGAUGUAUGUUUUCAAGUAUUUAAAGAUUGUGCGCAAUUACUCUCGGAAAAUCUACUUAUUUUGAUACUCCUCAUUUUUCUCAACGAUAACGGGUGUGACAUACAGUAAGUACGUCUACUACAUUUUCAGCCAAAUGUCCGUUCGGCUAAAAAUGUCAGUCGGCCAAAUGUCCGGGAGCCAUCAGAGCAGACACGAACAAAAAACGACUUUUAUUCUGAUACGUGAAAACAUUUAUAAUAACUAUUUCGAUUCGCCAAAAUGAUCUGUAAGCUCUUUUGAUAUAUUUUCCACUUUGGCAAGCCUUGACCCCGAACGAGAAAAUAGAGAAGAAAAAUGAAAAUAUCUUCCUUCCCCGUUUACGUUCGAAACCCUCAUUGGAAGACGGAAUUUCUUCAUUCAUUUCCUCUCGUUAGAUUCGAGGCUCAGUACAGCUGCUGCAACCACGCGCAGAACGCGUGAAGGAAUCGACGAAGCGAUCAUAGAGCUGAUAAAAAUGCGUUUCUGAUUGACGCGGUUAAUAGUGUUGUGUUAUGUUCCUUUCAUUAGUUUUCGUCGAUUAGAUACGAGCGAUAAACAGAUUAACAAGUUUAGACAGGACUUUAUUUAUAUAAUGCGUUCGUAACGUCUAUAAAUAGAUGACUCAUAUCUCAUGAUAUUAGUAAUCGAUUAACAAUGUUGUAUAUUCAACUUUGGAAAGAACAAUACUAGAGAUUUCUGUGUUGAGGAGAAUCAUUCGGUGUCAGAAUCAGGUCCGGAGUCUCAAGAGGCGUCAGAGACUCGUCUAGAGGCAUUAUCAUUUACGAAUAAAGUUUUAAUAUUUCUAU